CACGUAGGGGGCAAGCGUUGUCCGGAAUUAUUGGGCGUAAAGAGCUCGUAGGCGGCCGGUUGCGUCUGCUGUGAAAUCCCGGGGCUUAACCCCGGGCGUGCAGUGGAUACGGGCCGGCUGGAGGCAGGCAGGGGAGAAUGGAAUUCCCGGUGUAGCGGUGAAAUGCGCAGAUAUCGGGAGGAACACCGGUGGCGAAGGCGGUUCUCUGGGCCUGUACUGACGCUGAGGAGCGAAAGCGUGGGGAGCGAACAGG
rnacentral:rRNA from 1 species